rnacentral:rRNA from 1 species
GCUUGCUGGGUACUCGAGUGGCGAACGGGUGAGUAACACGUGGGUGAUCUGCCCCUGACUUUGGGAUAAGCCUGGGAAACUGGGUCUAAUACCGGAUAUUCAUUUUUCCUCGCAUGGGGAUUUGUGGAAAGCUUUUGCGGUUGGGGAUGGGCCCGCGGCCUAUCAGCUUGUUGGUGGGGUAAUGGCCUACCAAGGCGACGACGGGUAGCCGACCUGAGAGGGUGAUCGGCCACACUGGGACUGAGACACGGCCCAGACUCCUACGGGAGGCAGCAGUGGGGAAUAUUGCACAAUGGGCGCAAGCCUGAUGCAGCGACGCCGCGUGAGGGAUGACGGCCUUCGGGUUGUAAACCUCUUUCAGCUCCGACGAAGCGCAAGUGACGGUAGGAGCAGAAGAAGCACCGGCCAACUACGUGCCAGCAGCCGCGGUAAUACGUAGGGUGCAAGCGUUGUCCGGAAUUACUGGGCGUAAAGAGCUCGUAGGCGGUUUGUCGCGUCGUCUGUGAAAUUCUGCAGCUUAACUGCAGGCGUGCAGGCGAUACGGGCAGACUUGAGUACUACAGGGGAGACUGGAAUUCCUGGUGUAGCGGUGAAAUGCGCAGAUAUCAGGAGGAACACCGGUGGCGAAGGCGGGUCUCUGGGUAGUAACUGACGCUGAGGAGCGAAAGCGUGGGUAGCGAACAGGAUUAGAUACCCUGGUAGUCCACGCCGUA